AUGGUGAGGAGAGGAGGGCUGCUGACUGGUGGGUAUGGCGGCGCGUCGUCGUGGAAGGCCGGGAGGGUCAUGAGGGCGGCCGUGGCGGCCUUCUUCAACGGCUACCACUGCUUCAGCCCCGUGGCGGCCAUGCUCGCGCUGCCCUUCUCGGCCGCCGUGCUCGCGUCCCAGGCCGCGGCGUCAUCCUCCUCGUCCUCGUCGGGGGCGGUGCUGCCCGGCGUGUCGUCGCGGCUGCGGGGCAUGUUCCACGCCGCGGGGUUCCCGCCGUCGCCCUUCUUCGCGCUGCUCAACGGCAAGCUGUCGCAGACCGUGUUCACGUACGCGGCCACGCUGCCGGCGGCGCUCACCGUCCUGCUGCUCGCCAAGGCCUGCGUCGCCGGCGUGCUCCGCGCGGACCCGGCGCACGACCGGCGGCGGCGGGGGCGCAUGUCGCUCCCGCCCUGCGGCGCCGUGGCGCGCGCGUACCCGGCGCUCGCGGCCACGCACCUCGUCGGCUCCUUCGUCAUGCUCUCCGCCAACGCCGCCGCCUUCUCGCUGCUCUUCCUGGCCUUCGGCGCCGCCGACCUCCUGGGCUUCACCUCCCGCGCGUCCACGCUCGCGCUCUCCGCCGCGGGCGCCAUCGCCUACUCCGUGGCCGUCGGCGUGGCCACCGUCGUCUGCAACCUCGCCGUCGUGGUGGCGGCCAUGGAGGAGCGCUGCGCCGGGCAAGCAGCGGUGCUGCGCGCGUGCGUCCUCAUCAGGGGCCGCGUGCCCACCGCGCUGGCGCUCGCGCUGCCCACCAACCUGGGCAUGGCGGCCGCGGAGGCGCUGUUCCAGCUCCGGGUGGUGUCGCAGCGCCGGAAGGCCGGGCGGCUGGCGCCGGGCGUCGCCGGCGAGGCCUUCUCGAUCGCAUACAUCCACGCGCUCUGCGUUGUGCUGGAGAUCAUCAUCAGCUGCAUGUUCUACCGGAGCUGCAGGAGGAGCGAGGCCGAUGAGCUGAGAGAGCUGGAGCCCGAGGAGAAGGGCGACCUCCAGGCAUAG
rnacentral:rRNA from 1 species